rnacentral:piRNA from 1 species
UGGACUGAUGGAAAAAGGAACCACGAGGAGCC